UCUUCAGGAUGCUGUGUCCUGCAAUCCUGUGUGCUGUGCUACAGACGCGUGUGGAGGUCAACCCAAAAUGGACACAGUCUCACCACAGAAGAGUGAAAGAGGAUCCUGGCAGGGAGACGGUAGUGUCCUGCAGAAUGGUGAUGGGCCAAUCUUACAAGAGACCACAGAAAACUGAUAUAGUGAACUAUAGAAACAACAGUGCCUGCUGCAGUAUAACGAGGACACCCUGAGCAGAGAGCUCCAAUAGACCCAGGUCCAGUGUCUUGACAGGGUGAAAUGGCACUGAUAUGGGUAUGUACUAAUGUCAGUUAAAAUGAAUGAAUGAAUUAAUUCUCAUAUCUGAAUAAUGUGAACACUGGAUUUACCACACACACACACACACACACACACACACACACACACACACACACACACACACACACACACACCCUAGGCCUAGAUGAUUUGGACCCAAGGUUACUUUUACCACAGCUCUGGCACAUCAAUUUUCAUUUGUUUAAUAACUGGUCAGGUAAUUUAUUCAUUCCCCUUGUUUUUUUUUGUUUGUUUUUUUUUGUAGUGUCCUGCAGGAUGCUGUGUCCUGCAAUCCUGUGUGCUGUGCUACAGACGCGUGUGGAGGUCAACCCAAAAUGGACAGUCUCACCACAGAAGAGUGAAAGAGGCUCCCAGAAGUGAGACUGAGUGCCUGUUGCAGUAUGACGAGGACGCAGUGACCAGAGACCUUCAGUAGACCCUGCUGGCAUGAUUGGCGGCUGAAGAACAUGAAAUCAACAGCAAUGUUUAUAAUGUUGUACAUACCUGUAUAGUCUGUAUUAAAAGGCAGUACCUGUAGUAUUUUUCCUCUUACUUUCAUAUUUACCACAUAUUUACUAUGAAUUGACAACUUUUACUAAAAUCCAUUUUUGUAUGUGCCCUGACUAAAACUAUCCUUAAACCUAACCUGUCAGAGAUGUAACAACAACCUGCUCUUAGCAAUGUGGCAGCAGUCUACUUGGAUGCAGCGGGGAACAUAGAACCCUUUUUUGAAAAAGCAUUGUAUGUUUCUGAGUUUUAUGAACUGUGCCCUUCCCAAACAUCAUGCA